rnacentral:rRNA from 1 species
GAUGAACGCUAGCGAUAGGCUUAACACAUGCAAGUCGAGGGGCAGCAUGGUCUUAGCUUGCUAAGACUGAUGGCGACCGGCGCACGGGUGCGUAACGCGUAUGCAACUUGUCUCACAGAGGGGGAUAACCCGUCGAAAGACGGACUAAUACCGCGUACACUCUAUUUUGGGCAUCCAAGGUAGAGGAAAUGAAAUUCGCUGUGAGAUAGGCAUGCGUCCCAUUAGCUAGUUGGUGAGGUAACGGCUCACCAAGGCGACGAUGGGUAGGGGAACUGAGAGGUUGAACCCCCACACUGGUACUGAGACACGGACCAGACUCCUACGGGAGGCAGCAGUGAGGAAUAUUGGUCAAUGGGCGAGGGCCUGAACCAGCCAAGUCGCGUGAAGGAUGACUGUCUUAUGGAUUGUAAACUUCUUUUGUAGGGGAAUAAAGAGGGGCACGUGUGCCCCAGUGAAUGUACCCUACGAAUAAGCAUCGGCUAACUCCGUG